rnacentral:rRNA from 1 species
GACGAACGCUGGCGGCGUGCCUAAUACAUGCGAGUAGAACGCUGAAGAGAGGAGCUUGCUCUUCUUGGAUGAGUUGCGAACGGGUGAGUAACGCGUAGGUAACCUGCCUUGUAGCGGGGGAUAACUAUUGGAAACGAUAGCUAAUACCGCAUAACAAUAGGUUACACAUGUCAUUUAUUUGAAAGGGGCAAUUGCUCUACUACAAGAUGGACCUGCGUUGUAUUAGCUAGUAGGUGAGGUAACGGCUCACCUAGGCGACGAUCCAUAGCCGGCCUGAGCGGAUGACCAGCCACACUGGGACUGAGCCCCGGCCCAGCCUCCUACGGGAGGCAGAAGUGGGGAAUUUUCCGCAAUGGGCGAAAGGCUGACGGGGAAAUAACGCGUGAGGGAAGAAGGCUCUUGGGUUGUAAACCUCUUUUCUUAGGGAAGAACAAAAUGACGGUACCUAAGGAAUCAGCAUCGGCUAACUCCGUG